rnacentral:rRNA from 1 species
GAGUUUGAUUCUGGCUCAGGAUGAACGCUAGCGAUAGGCUUAACACAUGCAAGUCGAGGGGCAGCAUGGUCUUAGCUUGCUAAGACUGAUGGCGACCGGCGCACGGGUGCGUAACGCGUAUGUAACUUGCCUGAUAGAAAGGGAUAACCCGGUGAAAGUCGGACUAAUACCUUAUGGUCUUGGGUUAUUGCAUGAUGAUUCAAGUAAAGAUUAAUUGCUAUCAGAUAGGCAUGCGUUCCAUUAGUUAGUUGGUGAGGUAACGGCUCACCAAGGCGACGAUGGAUAGGGGAACUGAGAGGUUUAUCCCCCACACUGGUACUGAGACACGGACCAGACUCCUACGGGAGGCAGCAGUGAGGAAUAUUGGUCAAUGGGCGAGAGCCUGAACCAGCCACGUCGCGUGAAGGAAGACGGUUCUAUGGAUUGUAAACUUCUUUUAUAGGGGAUUAAAGUUAUCCACGCGUGGAUAUUUUGCAAGUACCCUAUGAAUAAGCAUCGGCA